GAAGCGGCAACAGCUCAAAUUUGAAAUCUGGCCCUCGGGUCCGAGUUGUAAUUUGUAGAGGAUGCUUUUGGUGCGGUGCCUUCCGAGUUCCCUGGAACGGGACGCCAUAGAGGGUGAGAGCCCCGUCUGGUUGGACGCCAAUCCUCUGUAAAGCUCCUUCGACGAGUCGAGUAGUUUGGGAAUGCUGCUCUAAAUGGGAGGUAUAUGUCUUCUAAAGCUAAAUACCGGCCAGAGACCGAUAGCGCACAAGUAGAGUGAUCGAAAGAUGAAAAGCACUUUGAAAAGAGAGUUAAACAGUACGUGAAAUUGUUGAAAGGGAAGCGCUUAUGACCAGACUUGGGCUUGGUAGAUCAACCUGGGUUCUCCCUGGUGCACUCUUCCUCGUCCAGGCCAGCAUCAGUUCGCUGCGGGGGAUAAAGGCUUCGGGAAUGUGGCUCCCUCGGGAGUGUUAUAGCCCGUUGCGUAAUACCCUGCGGUGGACUGAGGUUCGCGUUCUGCAAGGAUGCUGGCGUAAUGGUCAUCAGCGACCCGUCUUGAAACACGGACCAAGGAGUCGUCUUCGUAUGCGAGUGUUCGGGUGUUAAACCCCUACGCGUAAUGAAAGUGAACGCAGGUGAGAGCUUCGGCGCAUCAUCGACCGAUCCUGAUGUUC
rnacentral:rRNA from 1 species